rnacentral:rRNA from 1 species
AAAUUGACGGGGACCCGCACAAGCGGUGGAGGAUGUGGUUUAAUUCGAUGCAACGCGAAGAACCUUACCUGGUCUUGACAUCCACGGAAGUUUUCAGAGAUGAGAAUGUGCCUUCGGGAACCGUGAGACAGGUGCUGCAUGGCUGUCGUCAGCUCGUGUUGUGAAAUGUUGGGUUAAGUCCCGCAACGAGCGCAACCCUUAUCCUUUGUUGCCAGCGGUCCGGCCGGGAACUCAAAGGAGACUGCCAGUGAUAAACUGGAGGAAGGUGGGAUGACGUCAAGUCAUCAUGGCCCUUACGACCAGGGCUACACACGUGCUACAAUGGCGCAUACAAAGAGAAGCGACCUCGCGAGAGCAAGCGGACCUCAUAAAGUGCGUCGUAGUCCGGAUUGGAGUCUGCAACUCGACUCCAUGAAGUCGGAAUCGCUAGUAAUCGUGGAUCAGAAUGCCACGGUGAAUACGUUCCCGGGCCUU